UUAGAUAAAUAUUUAUACUUAUCUAAAAAGGAACAAAAAAAUUACGUUUUAUCUUACAGAUGAAGCCUAUAUAAACAUUUUGCAGUGUUUUUAGUUUUGUGUAUGAUGGUGGUUUUUCUUCACCUCCUUAUCAUCUUCCCAUCCAACAUUUUUUCUUUCACUGGGGAGAUUCUACAAGAUGACUAUCAUCGGCUUCUAGAAUCCCCACAGAGAUUUAAGGAGGUUAUCAUUCGAGGUGAAGAUCAGGGAGCCAAAUAGCAUUUCCGUUAUCAUUACUCCAAAAUGCAUUUGUGUUUUAGGGAGAUACCCGAUAAUCUGAUUUUCCUCUCAACACAGAAGACACAUGUGUCUCCAUCAAACAUACGUGCAAAGGAUGGAGAAUCAAGAAAGAAGAAUAAAGAGAGUGAAAAAGAGAAGGAAAGCAGGAUGUGAAAUCUGCUGAAUAGAUCUAUGUACAAUACUGCUGUAUCCUUAGCAAUAGUUUUUACUUGGUUUGUCUAAAAACAGGUUAAUCAGGAAUAUCACUACUCCAAAAUGUAUUUGUGUUCUAUGGAGAUUCUCUUGUUUCCGAUAAUCUGAUUUUCCUCUACUUUGAAAUCGGUGAAAAGGGAUGGAGAAUCAAGAAAGCAGAAUAUCAAAUCUGCUGGAUAAAUCUAUGUAUAAUACUCCUACAUCCUUAUGUUUGUAAGGAAAUGAAGCUGGUAAAAAUAACUAUAAACAUAUCCUGUAUCAAUCAAUAUAAAAAUUCCAAUAAAAUCCCUUGUAUUGAUCA